CAGGCUUAACACAUGCAAGUCGAGGGGCAGCAUGGUCUUAGCUUGCUAAGGCCGAUGGCGACCGGCGCACGGGUGAGUAACACGUAUCCAACCUGCCGUCUACUCUUGGACAGCCUUCUGAAAGGAAGAUUAAUACAAGAUGGCAUCAUGAGUCCACAUGUUCACAUGAUUAAAGGUAUUCCGGUAGACGAUGGGGAUGCGUUCCAUUAGAUAGUAGGCGGGGUAACGGCCCACCUAGUCUUCGAUGGAUAGGGGUUCUGAGAGGAAGGUCCCCCACAUUGGAACUGAGACACGGUCCAAACUCCUACGGGAGGCAGCAGUGAGGAAUAUUGGUCAAUGGGCGAGAGCCUGAACCAGCCAAGUAGCGUGAAGGAUGACUGCCCUAUGGGUUGUAAACUUCUUUUAUAAAGGAAUAAAGUCGGGUAUGCAUACCCGUUUGCAUGUACUUUAUGAAUAAGGAUCGGCUAACUCCGUGCCAGCAGCCGCGGUAAUACGGAGGAUCCGAGCGUUAUCCGGAUUUAUUGGGUUUAAAGGGAGCGUAGAUGGAUGUUUAAGUCAGUUGUGAAAGUUUGCGGCUCAACCGUAAAAUUGCAGUUGAUACUGGAUAUCUUGAGUGCAGUUGAGGCAGGCGGAAUUCGUGGUGUAGCGAUGAAAUGCUUAGAUAUCACGAAGAACUCCGAUUGCGAAGGCAGCCUGCUAAGCUGCAACUGACAUUGAGGCUCGAAAGUGUGGGUAUCAAACAGGAUUAGAUACCCUGGUAGUCCACACGGUAAACGAUGAAUACUCGCUGUUUGCGAUAUACUGCAAGCGGCCAAGCGAAAGCGUUAAGUAUUCCACCUGGGGAGUACGCCGGCAACGGUGAAACUCAAAGGAAUUGACGGGGGCCCGCACAAGCGGAGGAACAUGUGGUUUAAUUCGAUGAUACGCGAGGAACCUUACCCGGGCUUAAAUUGCAGAUGAAUUACGGUGAAAGCCGUAAGCCGCAAGGCAUCUGUGAAGGUGCUGCAUGGUUGUCGUCAGCUCGUGCCGUGAGGUGUCGGCUUAAGUGCCAUAACGAGCGCAACCCUUGUUGUCAGUUACUAACAGGUUCUGCUGAGGACUCUGACAAGACUGCCAUCGUAAGAUGUGAGGAAGGUGGGGAUGACGUCAAAUCAGCACGGCCCUUACGUCCGGGGCUACACACGUGUUACAAUGGGGGGUACAGAGGGCCGCUACCACGCGAGUGGAUGCCAAUCCCAAAAACCUCUCUCAGUUCGGACUGGAGUCUGCAACCCGACUCCACGAAGCUGGAUUCGCUAGUAAUCGCGCAUCAGCCACGGCGCGGUGAAUACGUUCCCGGGCCUUGUACACACCGCCCGUCAAGCCAUGGGAGCCGGGGGUACCUGAAGUGCGUAACCGCGAGGAGCGCCCUAGGGUAAAACUGGUGACUGGGGC
rnacentral:rRNA from 1 species